CGUGAGCGAAGAAGGCCUUCGGGUCGUAAAGCUCUGUCAAGUGGGAAAAAAGCCUUUCGGUUAAUACCCGGGAGGUCUGAUGGUACCACUGGAGGAAGCACCGGCUAACUCCGUGCCAGCAGCCGCGGUAAUACGGAGGGUGCAAGCGUUGUUCGGAUUUACUGGGCGUAAAGGGCGUGCAGGCGGUUUGGUAAGUCAGAUGUGAAAGCCCUGGGCUUAACCCGGGAAGUGCAUUUGAAACUGCCUUUCUUGAGUAUGGGAGAGGAGAGUGGAAUUCCCAGUGUAGAGGUGAAAUUCGUAGAUAUUGGGAGGAACACCCGUGGCGAAGGCGACUCUCUGGACCAAUACUGACGCUGAGACGCGAAAGCGUGGGGAGCAAACAGGAUUAGAUACCCUGGUAGUCCACGCUGUAAACGAUGAGAACUAGGUGUAGCGGGUAUUGACCCCUGCUGUGCCGCAGUUAACGCAUUAA
rnacentral:rRNA from 1 species